rnacentral:rRNA from 1 species
UACGUAGGUGGCAAGCGUUGUCCGGAUUUACUGGGCGUAAAGAGCGCGCAGGCGGUCGUUCAAGUCGCGUGUGAAAGCCCCCGGCUCAACUGGGGAGGGUCACGCGAUACUGAUCGACUCGAAGGCAGGAGAGGGAAGUGGAAUUCCCGGUGUAGCGGUGAAAUGCGUAGAUAUCGGGAAGGAACAUCCAGUGGCGGAAGGCGACUUCCUGGACCAAUACUGACGCUCAGGUGCGAAAGCGUGGGGAGCAAACAGGG